ACGGGGGGGGCAAGCGUUGUUCGGAAUCACUGGGCGUAAAGGGCGUGUAGGCGGUUCAGUAAGUGGGAUGUGAAAUGCUCCGGCUCACCCGGAGUACUGCAUCCCAAACUGCUGAGCUUGAGUAUGGGAGAGGAUGAGGGAAUUCCUGGUGUAGCGGUGAAAUGCGUAGAUAUCAGGAGGAACACCGGUGGCGAAGGCGCUCAUCUGGCCCAAUACUGACGCUGAGGCGCGAAAGCUAGGGGAGCAAACGGGAUUAGAUACCCCGGUAGUCCUAGCCGUAAACGGUGAGCACUAGGUGUUGGAGGCAUCGACCCCUCCAGUGCCGCAGCUAACGCACUAAGUGCUCCGCCUGGGGAGUACGGCCGCAAGGUUG
rnacentral:rRNA from 1 species